rnacentral:sRNA from 1 species
AUGGCUGUCGUCAGCUCGUGUCGUAAGAUGUUGGGUUAAGUCCCGCAACGAGCGCAACCCUUGUUCUUAGUUGCCACCAUUAAGUUGGGCACUCUGAGAAGACUGCCGGUGUUAAACCGGAGGAAGGCGGGGAUGACGUCAAGUCCUCAUGGCCCUUACGUCCAGGGCUACACACGUACUACAAUGGCAGAGACAAAGGGUCGCGAAGCCGCGAGGUGGAGCUAAUCCCAAAAACACUGUCUCAGUCCGGAUUGAAGUCUGCAACUCGACUUCAUGAAGCUGGAAUCGCUAGUAAUCGAAGAUCAGCACGCUUCGGUGAAUACGUUCCCGGGCCUUGUACACACCGCCCGUCACGUCACGAAAGUCGGUAACACCCGAAGCCGGUGGCCCAACCCUUGUGGAGGGAGCCGUCGAAGGUGGGAUCGGCGAUUGGGACGAAGUCGUAACAAGGUAGCCGUACCGGAAGGUGCGGCUGGAUCACCUCCUUUCUAAGGAGCACUAGGCGUUGUCGAAAGAUGGCGUCCAGAACGCCCCUGCACGAGCGAAUGUCUCGUGGGGGCAGCUCAAGGGUGGAACACUAACUAGUUCGCUUCAAAGCGGACGCUCGGCCACUAGUACUCCGACUUGUCGGGUGGAACGUGGUCUUUCGUUCGUCUAGAUCCGUAGGCACACUGUUGAGUCCUGAGGGAGCGGGCUUUUUUUGAGCCCGGCCUUCAAGGCCGUAAUGGUCGAACUUGGUUCGGCACUCAUUUCUUUCGAACGGCACCAGCUGGUGUACGCGGAAGGUCAAGAUGAGUCGCCGCCCGUACCUUGAGAACUGCACAGUGGACGCGAGCAUCUUUGUGGCAAAUUAAUAAGGGCGCACGGUGGAUGCCUUGGCACUAGAAGCCGAAGAAGGACGUAGGGGGCUGCGAUAAGCCUCGGGGAGCUGCCGACCAAGCAUUGAUCCGAGGAUUUCCGAAUGGGGAAACCCGG